GUUCACUAGUUUGAGAAGUAUUUUACUAUGAAAAAGUAAUAAUUAAAACGAUGCUAGUUUUUUUGUUCAAAAACUAAUGUAUUAUGAGAAAUGAUUUAGAAUCUAAUGUUUAAUUGAGGUUUCUUUUGUAUUACUACUUUACAUAUUUAUUUAAUGUUAUUUUAAAAUAUGGUGUAAAGUGUAUAGUUUUAGUAUAAUUUUCCAUUUUCUUUCUCAAAAAAAAAAUUCCAUUUUCUUAAAUAGAAUAUAUAGUUGUAAUAUAUUAAUCUACUGUUUUGACCGAGUAAGUGGACGUUUAGGUCAUCAAAGCUGUUGGUUUUUUUCAUUGAUUUGACCAGAAUUAAACUGUCUACAUAAACGACCAAGUUUUAGAACACAAAACUAUAUAUUUAGCGAGUAUAUUGAACAUAAACCAUGUAAUCGGUGAACUGGUAAAAGAUAGUUUUCAUUACACGUUUUUUUGUUGACGCGUUCUAUUGAAAUGUAUAUAUGCCAAAUGUUGUAGUGUUCAGAAUAAAGGUAGGACACAUGUAACUGAAUGGGUGGAUAAGAGAGCUUAAUUUUUGUUUUUGAAAAAGCGAAGUUGAGAGGACAACGAAACUGUUCAAUGUAUCUUAGGUAUCAUCAACAUGGAAAGCGUUUUCCAUACAGACAAAGCUACAACGUGACGACACGUGGCCACGUGUCUAUGGUAUAAGUUAGGCGCCAUAUUUGUCAUUUGUCAAAAAGACGUUAUAACGAUUGACGAUAAACAAAACACGAGUUUGAUGUUGACUAAAGAUUUUUUGUUAAUUGUAAAAAAAUUUAUGACUGUUUUGUUUCACUAACACUACAGUACAAUUUAUUUACUGUAGUUACUUAACUUUUUGUUUUGGACUUUAAUUAUUUAACUUAGUUUCACUGGUUAUCCGUAUAUUCAGAUAGGAACUAUAAUAGUCGCAGUUUAAUUAAUUGUUCUUAAUGUAAUCUUUUGAAUUGGAUAGCGCAUGGUAUAUAAAUCUCUAGUAUUCUCAGAAUAUGCUGUUUUGAAACAAGCAGUAUAUAAUUGACUAAGCGUUUUUCUAUAUAGCAACACAAUUCCGCAUUUGGUUAAAAUCAGUUUUAAAACUUAUGUUGGAUCCAAAAAAAAUUCAAGAACUGAACCAUAUAAGCAUAACCCUUUUUGUCAAUAUAAUCUAACAUCUCCUUUUGCAGAUUUGUAGUGUCGAUGUUUAUCCAAAAUAGUUGAGGAAACUAUAAUUAGGAGCUAUGUUUCGUACGGGUAAACUGUGUAAUUUCCAUAAUAUAUUUCCAUCUAUUUAUUGAUUUCGAUCGUCAUUAUCAUUUAAGCAAAUUAUUAUUCAUAAAUAUAUAUGCAUCGCUAGUUUAUUUUCUAAAAUUAUAAUCUGAACCUAUACAUACAUCCUGGAGAUCAUAAAUCUGCGAGCAAAAUUUAAGCAUACAUAAACCAGGUUAAAAUUAUAAAUGAAUACUGUCGUUAUGGAACCCCUCUAGUGGAACUUAAAUAAUUUAUUCCACUCAAAUACAUUUCGUGCUAACCAUUUGAUGCUUUAUACGUACUUUUAUUUAUUUUGUUUUAUCAUCUAUAUCUCUCAUUUUCGAUUAGUGAUUUAUCAUUCAUCAUUUAUCAAAUGAUAACGAACUACUCAAAGAAUAAUUAUGAUUUUAUUAAUCGCUCUUGUUUAUUUUUAUUCUUUGAACGUGGAGAACGGGGGGUUUCGGCCCAAUUGGUUUACAAAGUAGACUGUAACAAAUGAUCGGUUCACCCCUUAAUAUUAUUCAGAAGGUAUUUUAAACUCGGUUCAGACAAUGUGGUACGUUUUUGGACUAGUCCACUAUGUAGCAAUAAGUGCGUUUUUCCCGGGACCGACCGAAUCAUCUGAUAGGAUUUAUCAAAAAAUUGUGGAAAAUAUAUUAAAUUUUGAGAAGGAGAAAAAAAAUUCCAGAAAGUAGUCAAUUCAAUGGAUUCAUAAUGAUGUAGAAAAUUAUAAAAUAGUUUAGUAUUAUUUAUAUAUCUAGUUUAGGAAAUAUACUUAAUAUAAAACAUAUGUAAUCGUAAUAAUAUUUUUUUGAGAGUUAGUAUACAAUUUAUGCAAUUUCAAAUUAAUAUUAAUCUUUAAAUGAUAUGAUAUGAUAGGUAUAAUAUUUUAAGAAUCGGUUUUAUUUCUUUUAAGCUAAGUCUAUAUACUUUUGAAUCUAAACCAAAUGCUUCCAAAUUUAAAUUUGAUCAAUCUCAAAAUUUAAGUUUGCCAAACUUCUCAAAAUAGUUGAAGAAAAUGGUAAAGCUUCGACAAAAGAUUUUGGUCUUUCAAAAUUUUGUACACACUUUGUUGCUUUAGUUAAAAUUGUUAGAUAUUUUAAUAAAUAAAUUUAUUUUGUUGAUUAUUCUAUUUCGAUAUCAUUUUUCAAACCUCAUGAUUGAAUAAUAGAAAUGUUUGAGUAAUAGAUUGAUAUUUCAUACUUUUAAAAACAGUGUCAUUUAUUUGCUCUCCCUUCUCUCUAAGCUUUCUCUUUUUCCGAUCUGUUUGUGUGUUACCGGCCGACGGUGUGGGCUUCCUCAGCCACCGUCGGUCCGGUCUUGUCUUCCAUUCUCUUUGCUUGCAUGUUUUCUUAAGUUUUAAGUCUCCAAUAGUUGGAUCUAGAUCUUGAAUUCCAGAUUCUUUUGAGGUUCGAGGUAUGUCGGUGAUGGAUCAGUCGGUGGCGUGCUUAUAUCAUGCUGUUGUUCCUCUGUUCCGACGUUUCCUCUUCUCUUCGGGUUUCUUCAGAUGGUCUUUUGGCCUUGUUUCGACUUCUGCGUUUCAAGGAUCCGUUAGAUCCUCUCGUUGUUCUCCCGUCUUCCCGAUCUGGCUGUGCUUUUCAUGUUUCACUUAUUGUAGAGGUUCUACCAUGGAUUGAAGAUGUGAUUAUCUUGGACGGAUUUGGCUCUUUACAUCCGGUCGUGGAAGUUGAUUGUUAAAAGCUGCGUGCUCAUCAUCUUCCUGGGUUAUGUCUACUGCUUCAUCCUCGGUGGCUUGUGAAGUAAUCUUCAAAGCAAUAUAAUGAGGUGUGGUUCUACCCAAAUAAAGUUCGACUGUGGAUGCGUUCUAUCUUAUCCUUCUUCAUUUGGUCAUUCCUCUUGCAUGGGUGUUUUUGCUCAUUUGAUCUAGAUUCAUGUAUUGUGUGUACUUGAUCUUUUGGUUUAUCUCUCUUGUCUCCGGAGAUUCAGUUCGCAUCUGCCGGCCUAUGACUCCAAAGGAAUGUUAUUCCUGUUGGCUUAGUUUCUAGAAGUUUUUAUAACUUGCUAGCAUAUGAUCACAACUUGUAAGUUUUUGUCUAAGUUUAUAAUCAAUGAAAUCCUUCAGUGUUAAAAAAAAAAAAAAAAAAACAGUGUCAUUUAAAUCAUUAUAUUAUAUCUCAAUUAUGAUUUUGAGUUUGCAGAGAAUACAUAAAAUAAUAUAAAAAUUAGAAUAAUAUAUAAAAAUUGUUAAAUAUACUUACUUUAUAAAGUAUAUUUGAAAUGAAUAUGUAUGUAAUCUUAAUUUUUAUUUUUAUAAGAGUCGAUAUAUAAUUCCUAAUCAUAAAUUUUGUUUUAUUCGAAAAGACUCGUUUAGAAAAAUCAUUGUACAUUGACAAAAAAAAACUCGUUGCAUUGGACUGCGAACUUGUGAUCUUAAGUUAUGAUAUAAUAUAAAGGGCCCACUUGAUUCGAUGACGACUUUUAUGAGUUUAUCAUACACAGGUAACACAUCAUAUAUUCAUAUGCUAAAGAUUUUUAGUUUUUUUUUUAAAUAAACAAAGUUAGAGAUUAUUACUUCAUAUAAUAAUUGAAGACUAUUCCUGGAAACUAAAAUAAAGAAAAAGGUGAGUGGGAUAUUCUGGCAAUCACUUUCUUACGCUAAUUUUUAUCAGCUUCUUUAAUUUAGCUAUAUUUAAAGGUAUGCACUUAAUAAAAUAUCUAUUUUGGAACUAUUCAGUUUGAUUUGGAUCGAUAAGAUUCGAGUCUACUUUAGACGCAGAAGGGGCUGAUCCGCUUUGUUUCAACUUUCUUGAGUCCGGUUUAGACACAGAAAGGGUUGAUCCGGUUUAUAAGAUUAAAAACAGUGGGAAUUUGAUGUGUUGUUCAGCCCAAAACCAUCUUCGGCCCACUAAAAAUAUUCCAGUUAACUAACAUCGACGCAAAAGUAGGUUUGCCAACCUCCACAGCAACAAACUUCUUUUACAGUCUCAUGACUCUCAUCACUGAGUUUUCUCCACAUAGAGAGGGAGAGGGUUCGAACUUCGACCGAGACUGUAUGGUUGAACCAAGAAUAUGAUUCUAGUCGACCUACUAUGGAUAAUUUGCAUAAUUUGUCUUUUCUUGGAAGAGAAACCUAGACUUCCUUCCUGCUGUAUUAGCUUUAAUGAAUCUUUCUCAAACCACUGGAUUAAAAAAGGGGUUCUAUAAUAUUUUAUAAAAGUAUAAUGAUUUUCAAAACAAACAAAGAGUUUCGGUAUUAGCUAGAAAGAGAGAAUGUUAUUUAUUUAUUUAUUUCUUGAGCUUACAAAGCAAUAACUUGCCACACACACAAAAAUAAUACAAAGAAAUAAUGCAGAUUAGAAAUCCUCAUUACAAAAAGUUGUUAUCUCUUCUGUUAACUAUAUAUGCAUGAAU